rnacentral:misc_RNA from 1 species
AAAAACAACAAUAACAACAGCGGCAAAUGACCCAGCGGGGGGGAGGCACUUCUGUCACAACGCAAUCCUCGGCGGCGCCAUGUGAGGGGUCAGGGGACAGUCAUGAUCAUGUCGAGGACACACCGCUCCCAUGGGGUCAGCUGUUUAUUCUGUGCGUCGUCCUGCUUACGGAGAGCGUUUGCUGGAGUGUACUAAUUCCGUUUGUGCCUUCCUUUAUUGCGUAUAUUAAGGGCUGGGACAUAGACAGCUCUGGCUAUGCUUCAGGCUUUCCUGUCAGCCUCUUCAUGCUCGGGCAAGUCCUGAGUGGCAAAAUAUGGGGAGCGUUCAGUAACAAGGUCGGCCGUAAACUAGCCAUCAGCAUUGGUGUGUUCUGUUGUGCUGUUUGCAUGUUUUUUGUGGGACUCAGCGGCAGCUUGUGGAUGUUGUGCUUCUGGCGCUUUUUGCAUGGAUUGUUGGCCGGCUGCUCGAUCGUAGCCAAAACGAUGAUCAGUGAGUUGACGGAUACGACGAACCGUGCAAAGGGCUUGGCGCUGGUCAGUCUCACGUGGGGUGUGGGAACGCUGUUCGGCCCAGCUAUCGGUGGCUUUCUCUACAAUCCCGCUUCGAGUCCAAAGCUUGCCUUCCUGCACGUAUCUCCAACUAGCUUCAUGGGCAGGCAUCCCGCCUUUCUUCCCGGUGCUGUUGUGGCAACGUACAACUUGUUUGCCGUAGUAAUCAGUGUUGUGUUCCUACGGGAGAGCAACAAGAGUGCUCGGCCUCUACGAGAAGUGCUGCCGCGCUCUGUUGUAAAAAUCCUUGGCCCCGUGCUGAGGUUGGUGCAGCCGCGGCUUCCGUGCGACAAGGCCACCGAGGUGACAGUCAUAUACGCGGACGACCACACUGAGCCCAACGGAGCUGGACCCGAGAAGUCGCCGAGCGCAGCUGCCCGCCCGGUGGGUACCUGCGUUCCUGAACCGCAUACCCACUUCGGCUUCAAGGAAGCCUUUCUGAACCCAUUGCUGCGGCGUGUCUGCUUCAUCUCGAUGCUCAUCUGCACAUCCGACAUGAUGUUCACGGAGAUUUUCCCGCUCUGGAUGGCCGCAGAGUCUCGGAACGGCGGCCUGCAGCUGUCACCGUACCAGAUGGCGAUCCUGUUGUUGGUGAACGGCGCUCCGACAGUGCUCGCCAACAUCGUCUUUGCUUCGGUGAUCAAGUAUUCGGGGGGGCCAAUUCGGUUCUGGAUUGCGUCUCAGCUCAUAUACGCCUUUUUCACAGCCGUGGUGCCGACUGCGACUGCGUUCGGCACGACAAGUAGGUUCUGGUUUACAAUGGCGAUGGGCAUGCUGCGCAAGGUGGUGGAGAGCUGGAACUUUGCACUCAUCAUGCUGUUCGUGUCACUGACGGCACCGCAAGGCAAGGUGGCCAUCAUGUUUGGCAUUCAGCAGUCUACAGGAUGCGUGGUUCGUUGCGCCGUGCCUUUCAUCUUUGCCCCGCUCUUCGCGUGGUCCAUCUCGGCACCGCGCCCGUUUCCGUUCAACCACUACCUAGUGUUUCUCCUGAGCGUCAUUCCCUUAGCGAUUGGCGCCUACCUCGCAGCCUUCGUGUACAUUCCGUCCGACGACGGCGGCGACGGAGUAGACGUGGAGGAACACGGUAGCUCAUCGGAUAUGGAGGGCGACAGUGGCGGUGAGCGGCGCUCCGGAGCCGACUCGGGACGGGGAUCGGUGCGGUCACGCUACAGCUUCUUUGGCUCCGUCACUGGCGACGUCCAGGAACGCGAGUCUCUCCUUUACAGCUCCUUCGCCACUGCGGCCAUCGCGACUGCUAUAAACCCCAUUUCUGGAGUAGUUCAGAACACCAUCUUCACCCUCUCGGAAGGCUCUCCGCUACAAAGGCCCGGCGAGCAUGGAGCUGGUACUGCAGGGCGGUCGCUUCACGAGAGCGAAGAUUCCCGUGAGAACUCCAGCCAAGAGGGUGACGAAGUCGACGAUAACGCCGAAUACGCGACGUUGGUGGACGAGAUGGAAGUGAUGCAACCACUGAUUUCAGAUGGUAUGCUCGAACAUGAGGAUGUCCGCGUUGUGCAGGUCAACGAACUGCUUGAGGACGAGGAACUCCCACCUUCCGUGUCGCCUUCUGCCUAACGACAAGUACGCUUUACCGUCUCCCUUGGGCGCCGCCGUCACGACGAACUGUACUUUUCUCGUUUCUGCUUUUUCUAGCUGUGUAAGCCCGUUUCCUUCGGAUGCUUUUUUCCGAACAUGCCACCUCUUCUUUUUCACUCACAUCCGCCUACCCUGAUAACGGGAGGAACACCUAAGCGCGUAGUAUCACAGGGUCCAGUGCGCCCCGACCUGCACACUCUCUGUGAUUCAGGAAGUCACGGAGCCCCCUGCCCCCACUAUCCGCCUGCCAAUGCUGGACUGCCUGCGGUAGUGACGGGGCCAAGCACCUAAGGCUUAGGGGAGGUCAGAGCGGCGCGUCGCUUCCGAUGUCGGUGGUCGGGCCCUGGAUGGCGCUGCGUCGGACCGACCUGCGACUGUGAAGACGCUUGUGCCAUCCAUAUGGUGGGCAACGCGUCAGCGUGACUCAAGCGAAUCUUACCUGCCCACACACACACACACACACACUGCCUGCUGGUGCAGCCCGCGUGAUGGGAGGAGCUGCUGCGAGGCGACCGGCAGAGCGGGCGGUGGGCGGGUAGGGCUUGCGUCAGAGCCCGCGCUCUCAGAUAACUGAGUCGGCGCAUGGUUGUAAGGCGUGUGCGGCCACGGCUGCCUCGCACCACGCGAUGGGGUCUGUGACAGGGGGCGAUGCAGUGAUCUUGUGCUCGGUGGGCAGAAUGGCGACAGCAAACAAAAACACUUCUUUUCUCAUCCAAACUCGACUGUGGCCUGCGUGGAGCUGACAGGAAGGCGCGCGUUGCCUGUUGGUGUCUCUCUCUCGGUAAGCAAAGUCGUGAGAGUCGGACAGGCAAUAAGGGCAAAGGGGACGCGAUUUCGUGGCACGACAGGCACACGGACGGAGAGCUAUGACACAAGGAGAGAGCAUGAGCUGCAACGUGUUGGUGGCGACUGCUGUAUCCCCUCCUUCCCUCCUAAGACUCUGCCCACCACCUUCCCGCGCUCUUUUUUCUUCUCUCUUGUUGGUGCCUCGGCUUCUCCUCGGCGUUGACGGAGCCGUGUCUGAG